CCGGUGAAUACGUUCCCGGGCCUUGUACACACCGCCCGUCAAGCCAUGGAAGCUGGGGGUACCUGAAGUCGGUGACCGUAAGGAGCUGCCUAGGGUAAAACUAGUAACAGGGGCU
rnacentral:rRNA from 1 species